rnacentral:rRNA from 1 species
UGAGGAAUAUUGCGCAAUGGACGAAAGUCUGACGCAGCCAUGCCGCGUGAAGGAUUGAAGGCCCUAUGGGUUGUAAACUUCUUUUGUACGGGAAUAAACCCUCGCUCGUGAGCGAGGCUGAAGGUACCGUAAGAAUAAGCACCGGCUAACUCCGUGCCAGCAGCCGCGGUAAUACGGAGGGUGCAAGCGUUAUCCGGAUUUAUUGGGUUUAAAGGGUCCGUAGGCGGAUCGUUAAGUCAGUGGUGAAAGCCUACCGCUCAACGGUAGAACUGCCAUUGAUACUGGCGAUCUUGAAUAUGUAUGAAGUUGGCGGAAUGUGUGGUGUAGCGGUGAAAUGCUUAGAUAUCACACAGAACACCGAUUGCGAAGGCAGCUGACUAAUACAUGAUUGACGCUGAGG